AUUGAACGCUGGCGGCAGGCCUAACACAUGCAAGUCGAGCGGGGACUCCGGUCCUAGCUGCGAACGGGUGAGUAAUGCGUGGGAAUGUGCCCAAAAGUGGGGGAAACCGCCCCUUAAGGGACGCUAAUACCGCAAAAGUCCGACUGGUACAGGAGGGGGCUUUUCGGUCCCAUCACGGUUGGUUGAGCCGAAGUCGGAUUAGCUAGUUGGUGGGGUAAUGGCCUACCAAGGCGACGAUCCGUAGCUGGUCUGAGAGGAUGAUCAGCCACACUGGAACUGAGACACGGUCCAGACUCCUACGGGAGGCAGCAGUGGGGAAUAUUGGACAAUGGGCGCAAGCCUGAUCCAGCCAUACCGCGUGGGUGAAGAAGGCCUUCGGGUUGUAAAGCCCUUUUGUCGGGAAAGAAAAGCAGCAGGUUAAUACCUCGCUGUUCUGACGGUACCCAAAGAAUAAGCACCGGCUAACUUCGUG
rnacentral:rRNA from 1 species